rnacentral:rRNA from 1 species
AUUGAACGCUGGCGGCAGGCCUAACACAUGCAAGUCGAACGAGUGGCGGACGGGUGAGUAAUGUCUGGGAAACUGCCCGAUGGAGGGGGGUAACUACUGGAAACGGUAGCUAAUACCGCAUACCAUCGGAUGUGCCCAGAUGGGAUUAGCUAGUAGGUGGGGUAACGGCUCCCCUAAGCGACGAUCCCUAGCUGGUCGGAGAGGAUGACCAGCGCCACUGGAACUGAGGACAGGUCCAGACUCCUACGGGAGGCAGCAGUGGGGAAUAUUGCACAAAGGGCGCAAGCCUGAAGACGCCAUGCCGGGUGUAUGAAGGAGGGCUUAGGGUUGUAAAGGACUUUCAGCGAGGAGGCGGUACUCGCAGAAGAAGCACCGGCUAAAUCCGUGCCAGCCGCCGCGGUAAUUC